rnacentral:lncRNA from 1 species
AAACAUCCAAACACCCAUUAUGAUAGAGCUCAUUCAUAACAAAUUUACCAAAUUUCGACAUCAACUCAACCUUCAAAUCCUCAAAUCCUAUUUUCAAAUCCCUAGGCACAAAUUUUCGAAUUACACAUCAAAAACACAUAAUCUAAUCGAGUAUUCAAUGAUAAUUCAAUAUUAUUGACUAGCAAUGAUCAUAAGAGGAAAACAUGAUUAAGAGAAAGAUAGGUAAGUCUUCAACAUAGUUUCUCUCUCUAAAACAAAUUCUCCAUGGAACCUCAACCCUAUGAACCUCAAUCCUCUAAUCCACGAAAACCCCCUAACAUUAACAUAAACAAUGUUACCCCAAAUGAAUUAGUGAAAAAAUCUUCAUUCAAGGACAUGCUUGUUGCUUUUGAACUAAUGAGCUUCGCCCCUAACCUAGGACAGACAAAUAUAGAUUUGACAAAAAUCUCUAUAGAAGAGGAAACGUCCAUGCACUUAUCAAAUUCUAUUGCACGAGGCAUUAAGCAAAUCCCUUUAACAAAAGAAGACAUGUAGCGUAUUUAUAAGACAUGACAAUGCUCAAUAAUUGUUAAUUUGGUUGGAAAGCGAAUGUUACACCAAUUUUUAAAACAAAUUCAAGAACUUCGUCAUUCUACAGAAGAUCUUUCCCUCUUGGGGAAGAUUACUACAUUAUUAAAUUUCAAAAAAGGGAAAAUAUGGAGGAAGCUAUCAACCAAGGGCUUUGGUUCAUCAAUGGCCACAUCCUUUCAAUUUAAAAAUAGAAACCUAACUUCGUGGCUACAAAGGAAAGACUAACUCAGCAGUAUGGGUUAGACUGCCCCAUUUACCAACAAAAUUUUAUGAUUUAAAAAUUCUAGAAAAGAUUGGAAAUGCAAUUGGACAUUUAUCAAAGAUCAAUGUUUGUACAUCAACCACUUUAAGAGGAUGUUAUGCAUGUAUUUGUGUAGAAAUUCCAUUGGAAAUUGCAGUUAAACCUUUUCUAUGUAUUGGCCUCCAUAAACAAUACAUUUACUACGAAGGAGAAAAUGUUUUAUGCAAAAAAUGUGGAAGAUUUGGUCACACUAUAGAACACUGUAGCUAUGUUCCAAGAUCCCCAAAAAAUUCAAGUUCAUCCAAAGAUCAAGUUAUUUCAACAGAAGAGAACUUGGAAGAAGGAUGUAAAAUAGUCUCUUUUAACAAGGGAAGAAAACUUAGUGCAAGAAUUUCACGUCCAGUUCUCACAAAUCCAAAAAUCAUCCCAAGAGCCUAGGUAACUUUGUAAAUCUUUUCAAUGCUUAUACAGGUAAAUUCUUCAACAUUUACUUCACUACAAAUCUAAGGAACCAUCGAACAUACACUACCCUAGCAAGAAACCAGUCACAACAAACACUGAACAAUCCACCCUAGCUAUGGAAAAUCAUUUUUCCCUCUUACAAGGAGAGAAAAUGGUUUUGGAGGAUACUACUGAUCUUCCAAUUAACAAUACAUUAAAAAAUGUUAAUCUUAAAAUUACUGAACACUUAUCCCCUCCAGCAUGAGGACUUAGCCAUGCUGGAUCCAAACGUGGCAAAAAGAUUUACUAAUGAAAAUAAUAAAAAAAACUGUUAUGCAAAAUGUCAUGCAAAUGAAAAAAAGUACCUCACACUAAUGAUAACUCUAUUAACACUCUUAAGAAGCAAAACCACAAUUCCGAUAAUAGUUCUUCUUUAGACAAUAAUAAAGAACAAAAUCUUUCCAAAAGAUAUGGAAAUAUAUCAUCCCCUGGGCAUGUAAGCCAAAUGGAAAGGAAUACCACUGGCAAUGGACAAAUGUAACAUGCCAACGAAGAAGAUUUUGAUACUUCAUAUAUGGAAGAUAUCUGUAUAAAAAAAACGUUGGUAACCAAAGGAUUUGCAAUCAUCACCUACCUUUUCCCUAACACCAAAUAACUUGGCUACUAGCAGUAGCCGCAAUCCCAUGCCUACUACCACUCCUAUGAACUCCCAAACCACCAUUAAAGAUUCCAAGACUUCCUUCAACCCUAAGAAGAAGGAACAAACUUAUCCAAAUAUUACGACAACACAGAUCUCACCCCAUGAAGAACCUUCCACUCUUUCCACCACUCGAAAAGUCAUAAAUUGUCUAUGCACAACCCCCACAGGUACAUGAUUAUCAACCUGCCUCAUGGAUGGAACUAGGUCUAAGGGCCAUGCAAUCUCUUUCAAUGCUCAAACCAAUGGACAUGAAGUGAUUGUGAUACUUCACAACACUCAGUACCUAGUACAGCUAGUGACAGAGUGAAUAAGGCUUGCUAUGAAUAAUUAUCUAAACGAAAUGCGGUUAAACAAUAUCCUCCAACCUGUGAUGCCCUUGUUCAACCCUCAAAUGGUGCAUGCAAUAAUGCGUCAAAGGAACAUUCCUCCACAGUUCAACACAAUUCACCCAUAAAUUGUGUAUCAGUGUUUUCUGCCAUCCUUUUAUUUUUUGAAAGAGACGAGAGGUCCCUGUUAUGUAAUUUGUGUGUAUU